rnacentral:rRNA from 1 species
GACAGAGGGUGCAAACGUUGUUCGGAAUUACUGGGCGUAAAGGGCGCGUAGGCGGCCUUCUAAGUCGAACGUGAAAUCCCCGGGCUCAACCCGGGAACUGCGUCCGAUACUGGAAGGCUUGAAUCCGGGAGAGGGAUGCGGAAUUCCAGGUGUAGCGGUGAAAUGCGUAGAUAUCAGGAGGAACACCGGUGGCGAAGGCGGAUCUCUGGGCCUUACCUGACGCUCAGGUGCGAAAGCUAGGGGAGCGAACAGG